rnacentral:rRNA from 1 species
GAGUUUGAUCGUGGCUCAGAUUGAACGCUGGCGGCAGGCCUAACACAUGCAAGUCGAGCGGAUGACGGGAGCUUGCUCCUUGAUUCAGCGGCGGACGGGUGAGUAAUGCCUAGGAAUCUGCCUGGUAGUGGGGGACAACGUUUCCGAAAGGAACGCGUAAUACCGCAUACGUCCUACGGGAGAAAGCAGGGGACCUUCGGGCCUUGCGCUAUCAGAUGAGCCUAGGUCGGAUUAGCUAGUUGGUGGGGUAAUGGCGUCACCAAGGCGACGAUCC